GAUGAAUGCUGGCGGCGUGCCUAACACAUGCAAGUCGAGCGGCAGCGCGGGGUGCUUGCACCCUGUCGGCGAGCGGCGAACGGCUGAGUAACGCGUGGGAAUUUGCCCCAAAGUGAGGAAUAACUGCCCGAAAGGGUAGCUAAUGCCGCAUAUGGUCUUCGGAUUAAAGGAUUUAUCCGCUUUGGGAGAGGCCUGCGUUGGAUUAGGUUGUUGGUAGGGUAAUGGCCUACCAAGCCGACGAUCCAUAGCUGGUCUGAGAGGAUGAUCAGCCAGACUGGAACUGAGACACGGUCCAGACUCCUACGGGAGGCAGCAGUGAGGAAUCUUCCACAAUGGGCGAAAGCCUGAUGGAGCAACGCCGCGUGAAGGAUGAAGGCCUUCGGGUUGUAAACUUCUUUUAUGAGUGAAGAAUAUGACGGUAACUCAUGAAUAAGCACCGGCUAACUACGUG
rnacentral:rRNA from 1 species